rnacentral:rRNA from 1 species
UACAGAGGUCCCAAGCGUUGUUCGGAUUCACUGGGCGUAAAGGGUGCGUAGGCGGUCGGGUAAGUCUGAUGUGAAAUCUCACAGCUUAACUGUGAAACUGCAUUGGAUACUAUCCGGCUCGAGGAAUGGAGGGGAGACUGGAAUACUUGGUGUAGCAGUGAAAUGCGCAGAUAUCAGGAGGAACACCGGUGGCGAAGGCGGGUCUCUGGGCAGUAACUGACGCUGAGGAGCGAAAGCGUGGGGAGCGAACAGG